rnacentral:rRNA from 1 species
CCUACGGGGGGCUGCAUUGGGGAAUAUUGCACAAUGGGCGCAAGCCUGAUGCAGCCAUGCCGCGUGUGUGAAGAAGGCCUUCGGGUUGUAAAGCACUUUCAGCGGGGAGGAAGGCGUUAAGGUUAAUAACCUUGGCGAUUGACGUUACCCGCAGAAGAAGCACCGGCUAAUUCCGUGCCAGCAGCCGCGGUAAUACGGAGGGUGCAAGCGUUAAUCGGAAUUACUGGGCGUAAAGCGCACGCAGGCGGUCUGUCAAGUCGGAUGUGAAAUCCCCGGGCUCAACCUGGGAACUGCAUUCGAAACUGGCAGGCUAGAGUCUUGUAGAGGGGGGUAGAAUUCCAGGUGUAGCGGUGAAAUGCGUAGAGAUCUGGAGGAAUACCGGUGGCGAAGGCGGCCCCCUGGACAAAGACUGACGCUCAGGUGCGAAAGCGUGGGGAGCAAACAGGAUUAGAUACCCGUGUAGUC